rnacentral:lncRNA from 1 species
UUGGGAAGAAGAAAGCAGACAUCUCCUACAUGAAGUUUGGGGAGCUUGAGGGCGUCCACAAAUUCACAUGGCAGUUGAAUCCGUCUGAAGCUUAUAGUCUUGACCCAGAUGAGCCUGAAAGGAGAGAAAAGCAUCUGUCCAUCAAAAGAGCCCACUGAGAGGGUGCAAAGGCAAGCCAUGGAGCGGAAGACAUGUGCCACUUAAAUCAGCCCAGGGCCUGAGUCCGGGGUCUCAGGAGGAGAAAGACACGCCCACAGGUGAAUGCAGAGUGGAAGGCGAGGACAAGGAAGACUGCUGGGGUGUCAGGCAGCGUCUCAGCCGCCCGUCAAGUGUGUGCCUCUUGGUGACAGUUCCUUAAGUUCAGCUUAUGUUUUGAUGCAUUUUUAAACACGAAUUUUAUAUCAAUAAAUAAUAUGGUUUUCUCCUUUUCAAUUAUGGAAG